rnacentral:rRNA from 1 species
GAUGAACGCUGGCGGCGUGCCUAAUACAUGCAAGUCGAGCGAACGGACGAGGCUCUUGCUUCUCUGCUGUUAGCGGCGGGCGGGUGAGUAACACGUGUCUAACCUACCUAUGGGACUGAGAUCACUUCGCGAGACCUAAGCUCAUACCGGACGAUAUUUUGAAACUCAUGGUUCUUAGGUGCACACCCUAUUUGCUGUGCCUUAUUGGUGGUUCUAGGCUGGAUUAGCUAGUUGGUAAGGUAACGGCCUACCAAGGCAACGAUGCGUAGCUGAUCUGAGAGGAUGAUCAGCCACACUGGAACUGAGACACGGUCCAGACUCCUACGGGAGGCAGCAGUAGGGAAUCUUGGGCAAUGGGCGAAAGCCUGACGCAGCAACGCCGCGUGUGUGAUGAAGGUCUUCGGAUCGUAAAACUCUGUUAGUAGGGAAGAACAUAUGUGUAAUUAACUGUUCACGUCUUGACGGUACCAAAACAGAAAGCCCCGGCUAACUACGUG